ensembl:lncRNA
AGAGCGUGUGUGUGGCCGCCAUUUUCUCGUCUGCCGCCACAGGGACUGCCACGGCGUAUUCGUUAUUGGAUUGUGAAUGUGGCAGUGCAAAGAAUGUCCAUCGCAACUAGCUAGCAGAAUCCAGCAGCAAGAGAGACGCCUACUCCAGAGGAAAAAAAACAUAAACAUCAAUAACAGAAUAAACUUUCACCAAAGGUAUUAAAGUAGCGAGGUAUCGCUGAUUGCCCUGAGAGAUCUGGGGAAUGGUGUGGGAUUGACGUGGCCUCCAUCCUCCAGUGGCGGUUGUGCUACCCUUGACGCCGGCCCGUUUAACAAGGCCUUCACUCAAGCCUGAGCAGGCCAUCAUCACACUCCCCCUACACUCCUACACUCAGGUCAAGGAUGUUUGACACCUCUCCUUCAGCCGGGCACACAGUAAUUCCUGCUGUUCAGUGUGUGACAUUCUGAUUCACAAUGACUUACAAGGACGGCUCUCCCAAAAAAGGAAAUGCUAGCAUCAUGUAUUGUCCCUUCUGUCAUUCUGAGUCCAUCUGAUUUUCUUUCUUCUGUGAAAUGCAAAAGGAGAUAUUUAGUUGAAUGUCCAAGCUGCUCUUUUCCAUUCAGUGAAAAUGGAUGGGGUCUAGAGACACCCUUGUGAAAAAGAAAUACAUACUGUUAAAAAGAG